rnacentral:lncRNA from 1 species
ACCGUUUUAUCAGAAAAUUUAACUGGUUAUAUAGCAGUUUGACAAACACUUAUUUUGAUCAUUGAGAAGCUUAAUAUCCCUUUAACAACACAAAGUAAUCAAAACGUUUAGCUGAUUUUACAGAGUUAUCUCCCUGUAGUGUUAGGUACCACCUUAAAUCAAUGUGGUUCAAAUUAAGUAUUGAUAUUGGAAAAUGCUUAUUAUAGAGGAAUGAAAUAUGUGGGUUUUAUGAGUGCUUGUUAUUUAUAUUAUCCUCUUUUAUGAUACAAAUACUCAAUGGAAUGCUCGUUAUUUUUAGAAAUAACCUUUAGUUCAACCUUGAAGAAAAUGUGAUCUAAUUAAUUGUUUCUCGACUGAUUUUGAAGAGACAAUUUGUACUUUGCUUUUAUGGCAGUUCAAUAAGUUGAAUAACCUAAUCGUAGAAUCAGACAUUAAGAAGAUGACUGUUUAAUAACUGACACAAUUAUACCAGCGGCAGGUCAAGCCUUUUUUAAAAGAGGGGUUCUCAACCCAGGAGAAAUGGGGUGGGGUGUGCGUUCAAACUAUAAGUCCCCAUUCAAGUGCACUGAUCGUCCAACCCCAGAAUCCUUCCUCUGGAUCCGCCACUGUAUACGUGUUUCAACACUGAUCAUUACACAAACAACACAAAAGUUUAAAACACAUAUUUUGAUUUCGUUACUGGCCUAUAUUUGCUUUUGUUUCGAUGUUAAAAAAUCGAGAUUAAAAAACGUACGCUAUUUUACAUUAUGACUGUUUUACAAGUAUUCCUACUAUGUCUUCUAUAUGACGUUUCGUCCUCUAGAUCUGUAUAAUUAUUACAUUCAAAUUAAUCAUUCAUUACUACGAAAAAACACAACUUGCAACAUUAAAGUUGAAUAUGUACAUGGAAGGUUUCCUGUAUUCCUAUUUGUUAAAUUUGAAAUAUUACGAAAGUGCAUGGUUAACCAAGAAAAGCAAUUCUCUUUUGAUUAAUUUAUUUAAAUGACAGCAAAUUG